rnacentral:rRNA from 1 species
GACGAGUCUCACGAACGUUAUUCGGAAUUACUGGGCUUAAAGGGUGCGUAGGCGGUGGAGUAAGUCGGAUGUGAAAUACCAUAGCUUAACUACGGAACUGCACUCGAUACUACUUUGCUAGAGUAAGACAGAGGUGAGUGGAACUGAGGGUGGAGCGGUGAAAUGCGUUGAUAUCCUCAGGAACACCGGUGGCGAAGGCGACUCACUGGGUCUUUACUGACGCUGAUGCACGAAAGCUAGGGUAGCAAACGGG